GCUGCGAUGGCAGAGUGGUUAAGGCGUUGGACUCGAAAUCCAAUGCAUACAAACGCAGGUUCAAACCCUGCUCGCAGUG